CACGUAGGGUGCGAGCGUUGUCCGGAAUUAUUGGGCGUAAAGAGCUCGUAGGCGGUGUGUCGCGUCGGCCGUGAAAACCUGCAGCUUAACUGUGGGCGUGCGGGCGAUACGGGCAGACUUGAGUACUGCAGGGGAGACUGGAAUUCCUGGUGUAGCGGUGGAAUGCGCAGAUAUCAGGAGGAACACCGGUGGCGAAGGCGGGUCUCUGGGCCGAUACUGACGCUGAGGAGCGAAAGCGUGGGGAGCGAACAGG
rnacentral:rRNA from 1 species